GCGGGAGCUAAGCUCAGGCCGCGAGGCGUAGGCGAUGCACAUACGGUAGAAAUUCCGUAACCACCGAACUUUAAGAUGAGGGACACUUUGAGAUAGCGGAACCCGGGCGUUGGUUGACCCGGGCGAAAGGGACCGAAAUAUAGUAGGGAAGUCCGUGAUGCUCGGAGGCGAGAAAAGCUCAUGUGUAUACUAAGGUGCCCGUACCGCAAACCGACACAGGUAGAUGAGGAGAGAAUCCUAAGGCCAACGGGAGAAGGGUUGUUAAGGAACUCGGCAAGAUGACCCCGUAACUUCGGAAGAAGGGGAGCCUCGAAAGAGGCCGCAGUGAAUAGGCCCAAGCAACUGUUUACCAAAAACACAGGUUUAUGCUAAAUCGAAAGAUGACGUAUAUGAGCUGACGCCUGCCCGGUGCCGGAAGGUUAAGAGGAGAUGUCAACCGCAAGGUGAAGCAUUGAAUUGAAGCCCCGGUAAACGGCGGCCGUAACAAUAACGGUCCUAAGGUAGCGAAAUUCCUUGUCAGGUAAGUUCUGACCCGCACGAAAGGCGUAAUGAUUUGGGCACUGUCUCAACAGCCCGCCCGGCGAAAUUGUAGUACUGGUGAAGAUGCCAGUUACCCGCAACUAGACGGAAAGACCCCAUGGAGCUUUACUGCAGCUUAAUACUGGAAUUCGGUAAAUCAUGUACAGGAUAGGUGGGAGACAGGGAAGCAUUGGCGUCAGCCAGUGUGGAGUCGCUGGUGGGAUACCACUCUUGAUUUGCUGGGUUUCUAACCUGCGGCCGUGAAUCCGGUCGGGGGACACUGUUAGGCGGGCAGUUUGACUGGGGCGGUCGCCUCCAAAAGAGUAACGGAGGCGCUCAAAGGUUGGCUCAGCACGGACGGAAAUCGUGCAAUGAGUGUAAACGUAUAAGCCAGCCUAACUGCGAGACCGACGGGUCGAGCAGUAACGAAAGUUGGAGUUAGUGAUCCGGUGGUAUGUGAGUGGAAAUGCCAUCGCUCAACGGAUAAAAGCUACCCAGGGAUAACAGGCUGAUCUCCCCCAAGCGUCCACAGCGACGGGGAGGUUUGGCACCUCGAUGUCGGCUCGUCACAUCCUGGGGCUGUAUUCGGUCCCAAGGGUUCGGCUGUUCGCCGAUUAAAGUGGCACGCGAGCUGGGUUCAGAACGUCGUGAGACAGUUCGGUCCCUAUCUGUUGCGGGCGAAAGAGAUUUGAAGGGAGCUGUCCUUAGUACGAGAGGACCGGGAUGGACGUACCUCUGGUGCACCAGUUGUCCUGCCAAGGGCAUAGCUGGGUAGCUAUGUACGGACGAGAUAAACGCUGAAAGCAUCUAAGCGUGAAACUCCCCCUAAGAUGAGAUCUCUCAUCCUUCAUGGAGUAAGGGCCCAGGAAGACUACCUGGUUGAUAGGCAAGAGGUGGAAGCGCAGUAAUGUGUGUAGCUGACUUGUACUAAUAGCCCGAGGGCUUGACU
rnacentral:rRNA from 1 species